UUUGGGAAAGGAACGAAGAGGCAGAAUAUUCAGAAAAGGAGAUUUACAAUCAAUCUUCAGCCCCUUUUUUCCUACAUUCAGCUGCUUAUUUAUACAAUAGAAUUAUUCCUUCUCCUAACUACUACUGCCAGCUUGACAAUAACUAUCUAGUAACUACCACUAAUCAUUAAUGCUAAUGAAGUACUCCAGAUGCUCCAACUAAAACUUGAUCAAUCAUGACCUGAUGAUGAUGAUCAUGGCCGUGGGUCAUAACAAUACUCUCCCCUUAAAAGAAUCCUUGUCCUCAAGGAUUGAGCUUUGAAAUUAAAAGAAUCCUUGUCACAAAAAUCUUUUGAACCUUUUUCAGGCCAACUUCAGACCAUCAAAACAGAGCUCUGGUUGUUCCUUUGAUAACUUGUGACAUGCAUCUUGCAAAAAUGAAUAUGCAGGGCUUUGUAGAUUAUGUCAUCAGCCUGCUUAAUUUUGUUGGACUGCUCAAACAUGAGUGUAUAAUAAGAAAAUACAGCUCCUGACUUUAUAUGUCCUAGACGAAUAACCAAGCUGGUGCCAUUUAUUAGAAAAACAACAAUCAUUCCCAGUACUUCCACUUCAAAAAAAUGACUUUUGAGUAACUUGGGUAUGGUCUUCAUGACAAACACUUCCUGUUGGAGUGCCUCCUUUGAAUCCAGACGUAACUUUGCUCCAAAAUCUCCCACCAUUUGUUGCAUUCUUAGUUGCCAACUCAAGAAUCUUAUCUUGAAUUACAACAAAUUCAUGAACUCUGAGGAUAUUACUAGGCUUCAAUACAAUUAGCAUCAUAUUAAUCUCCUCCAUGAAUUGAUCAGAUUCACCAGCCAUUUGCUCUGAAUUUUUAUACUUCAUGCAGGCAGCCCUUUUUCCAUCCUCAAGAACAAUCCCUCUGAAAUCCACAUCGACAAAAGCCAAAAGGCUUAAACUUUCUCAUAGCAGCUUUGUUUCUACAUGAAUCAGUCAAUUCAAGAAUGAAACUUGCAGCAAAUAUGUCAUCAGAACUAUUCUUUCUUCCAGAUUUCCCUAAUGGCUUAUGAAGAAUUACUAUAUCCAUAUCCCAAAUCACAGCUUGAAGAAUGUUGCUUGAUAAAAUUUUGUGUGGGAACUUGCUGUCUUCUUCAACAUUAGUGCCACCUUCAAAACCAGAUACUAUUACGGACCAAGACUUCAUUGCAUUACUGGCUUUCUUGGGGGUAAUUUGAAUAAACUGUUCUCCGAGUACAACCAUAUCAUUAAACGCCAUCAAAGAAUCAAAGUUAAACACUUGCGGCACAAAAUUUCUUCCAUGUUUUAACUCAGAGAAGACCUGUCUAAACAAAUCAUCACAGAACUUGGUCCCCAUUUAUUUUCCCAUGAACCAUCUCCGAGGCUUGGAACCCAGCAUAGUCACCAUUCUCUUCUACAGACAUUUCAUCAUUGACCAAAAUCUGACUAUCAGUUACUUGACAAGCAAGCUAUGAUUCAUCACAUUUUCUAGCUUUUCUAGAAUUUCCCUUAGAAGACAUAUCCAAGUCGGUACUUGAAAAUUGUGGGAAAGAAAUCAUACCAACUUUUUCCUCAAUCAACAUUUGAUUGAAAUUACUGAUCUCAGUUUCUAGAAGUUGAUUCUUGAAUUCUAAUUCUCUUUCAUUGCUCAACGUUGAACGUUCCAGCUCCUCUUGAACUGAAAUGGCUGAAGAAGGAAGCUUUGAACUUUCACCAAACAGGUGGUGUUCUUCAAUUGCAAAACCAUAGUCACCUUCCAAAUGUUCUUCCAUUUCACCACAGAGGACUUCAAACUUGUCUGUUUCUACCGUUGCCAAAUGUGCAUCAGUCCACUUCUUGAUUCUUGAAAGAGGGACCUCCUUGGAAUUUGAUUCCUCUGUUUCUUCAAGAAUUUGAUUCUUGAAAUUUUCUUCCAUCCCUUUGGCUUGAUUAGACACAGUUGAAAGCCACUCAUUUUCAUCCAAAAUUGGAUAAUCCUCCCUUAAUCACCCCUCUCUGAUUACGGUUCUUAGGAAUUCAUUAAAUGUAGUUGCGAAUGAAAUCAUACAACUCCUUAACUCGGAAUCGAUCUUGUCAGGCCUAGAUCUGCAUUCAGCUGCAUUUACUUUCGUUAAACUGUGAAACUCAGAUUCUUGUGUCUCUAUUUGAUUAAGCAAGAAUCAAUUUGAAAAGAAGGAAAAGAAAGAAGAGAAAGGAAGUAAAGGAAGCAAGCAGAUUAAUAGAAGAGUUGGAGAUAGAGAUAAGAAUAGGAAAAGAAGGGACAAGGAAGAGCAGAAAUGAAUAGAAAUGAGAGAGGAACAGAGAGAAGAUUAAAAAAAAUGAUAUCAAUUGGGGUAAUCGAAGUUUGCAAUCUGAGGACCGGAAGCUCUGAUACCAAUUGUAAUGACUGCAACUAGUAAAGGAAGAAUCAGAUAGAGAAUUGAGACAAGGAGAAGAAGAGAGAGCAGAAAUGAGAGAGAUUUUGGGAAAGGAACGAAGAGGCAGAAUAUUAUUCAGAAAAGGAGAUUUACAAUCAAUCUUCAGCCCUUUUUUCCUACAUUCAGCUGCUUAUUUAUACAAUAGAAUUAUUCCUUCUCCUAACUACUACUGCCAGCUUGACAAUAACUAUCUAGUAACUAUCACUAAUCAAUAAUGCUAAUGAAGUACUCCAGAUGCUCCAACUAAAACUUGAUCAAUCAUGACCUGAUGAUGAUGAUCAUGGCCGUGGGUCAUAACACCAUCCUCUAUCUACGACACAUCUAUCCUGGCUGGCACUUCUGCUUCAAGUAAUGUACUUCAGGAGAAUCUAGGACCUAAAUCUAGAUUCCAGAUUCCCUAAAUCUAGGGACCUAUUCCAGAUUCCCUUGCCCAUGCUUCUUUGCUUGAACAACUUGAGCUUAUUGCCAACUAGUUGAAAGGACAAGUUCCUACUAAUCUUGGAAAUCUUCGCAAUCUUCAGUGUCUAGGUAUUGGAGGUAAUAUUCUGUGGAGCAACCCUGCAGGAGACUUGGACCUUUAUGCAUCUUUAUGGAACUGCAGCAAUCUACAAUCUCUCUUAUUGAGAGGAAACAACUUUGGGGUAAGUUGCCUGCUUUCGAAUGAAACUCCUCUAACAUGCUGGAACAACUUGAUAACCAUCAGAAUUCUAUUUCAACAUGGCAGAAGCUAGCUUCAAUCAAUGACUCGGCUGGUGAAGUUGUUUUUGCUUUUUUCGAAUCGUAUUCUGGUGUCACCUCUUUGCAAGCAGAAACUCGUGUGUUGUGUACAAGUUUGGAAUUAUGUUAUAAGAUGCAUUCUGACUCUCUGGUAGUGGAAGUGGACUCUAAGGUGCUUAUUGACUCGGUUUGUGGU
rnacentral:lncRNA from 1 species